rnacentral:lncRNA from 1 species
AACUGUCUAGGAGAGUACAUAGCACAUAAAAACUCUCAGUAAGUGAUAGCUGUCUUUAUUUCAGAGUCUAUAAACUAACAUUUCAGCUCAUAGCCCAAAUUACUCCAGCCCUUCCUGAAUAUGAGAAUUCUGAUUCUUAUAAGACUGCCUUAGAGACUAAUUCACAGAAGCAUAGACAGUUGUCCAAUGGAAUAAAAUUGCUUUGAACUAACAUACCAUUUAGACUUUGACUUUUCACUGACAUCUCAUAUAUUUCCCUGGAAUUUUUUAAAAAUUAAACAAUAUGUACGAAAAUGUAUCUGUAAAACAGUUACUCUUUUAAUAUAAAGCACUGGCAUAUUGAUUAUUACUUAAGAGAAGUCAAAUAAAGCCUUAUUUUGGCAAGAGGCAGAGUUGGGAUUUGAAUUCUUACACUUUUAAUAUAGCUCUAUAGUAAAGAGUUAGGGAGGAUUCCCUCUUUUUCUAUUGUUUGGAAUAAUUUCAGAAGGAAUGAUACCAGCUCCCCUUUGUACCUCUGGUAGAAUUC